AACAAUGAGCCGGCCCAGCCCAAUCAAUAAAAUGAGCCCACUGAAAAAAUAAGUGAGCCCAGCCCAUCCUUCUCUCCUACCUAGGGUAACCCGCGGCGGCCCUCCCGUUCCCGUAUAAAAUCCGCGCUCGUCUCUCUCGCCUCCUCCCCUCCGCCGCCGCCGAAUCAGCCACACCCGCCGGCCAAGAUGAAGACCAUCCUGGCUUCCGAAACGAUGGACGUCCCCGAGGAGGCCACCGUCAAGGUGGCGGCGAAGGUGGUCACGGUGGAGGGGCCGCGCGGCAGGCUCACCCGCAACUUCAAGCACCUCAACCUCGACUUCCAGCUGCAGGGACGGCGGCCGCAAGCUCAAGGUCGACGCCUGGUUCGGCACCCGCCGCACCAUGGCCGCCAUCCGCACCGCCAUCUCCCACGUCCAGAACCUCAUCACCGGCGUCACCAAGGGAUACCGCUACAAGAUGCGAUUCGUCUACGCUCACUUCCCCAUCAACGCCUCCAUCACCAACGCAAACACCGCCAUCGAGAUCAGGAACUUUCUCGGAGAGAAGAAGGUGAGGAAGGUUGACAUGCUUGAAGGUGUGACCAUUCUGCGUUCUGAGAAGGUCAAGGAUGAGCUCAUUCUUGAUGGCAAUGAUAUCGAGCUUGUCUCUCGCUCUGCUGCCCUAAUAAAUCAGAAAUGCCACGUAAAGAAUAAGGAUAUCAGGAAGUUCUUGGAUGGUAUCUAUGUGAGUGACAAGGGUCCAAUCGCGGAGGAGCAGUGAGCUCUUUGCUGCUGCUAGGGAAACCUGUGUUAGACAGAGUUGGGUUCAUCGUUUUUGUGCUGUGUUUUUUGGUUAGUCAAUUACAAACUUCACAAGUUUAUCAGUUUUUUAUCUGUUUUGUACUGUUUUAGGAUGCUAUGUAAUUGGAGAGGCGCUCCUAUGCUAUUGUCAUUGUUUGUGAGAUUAUUUUCGUGUUCAAAUUCCCCUACAUACCUCUCCCGUUCCUGGUUGACUC